rnacentral:rRNA from 1 species
UCCGUAGGUGAACCUGCGGAAGGAUCAUUACAGAGUUCAUGCCCUCACGGGUAGAUCUCCCACCCUUGAAUACAUACCUUUGUUGCUUUGGCGGGCCACGUCCGCGUGUCGGCUUCGGCUGGCUGCGCCCGCCAGAGGACCCCAACUCGUUUGUUUAGUGAUGUCUGAGUACUAUAUAAUAGUUAAAACUUUCAACAACGGAUCUCUUGGUUCUGGCAUCGAUGAAGAACGCAGCGAAAUGCGAUAAGUAAUGUGAAUUGCAGAAUUUAGUGAAUCAUCGAAUCUUUGAACGCACAUUGCGCCUCUUGGUAUUCCGAGGGGCAUGCCUGUCCGAGCGUCAUUAUGACCACUCAAGCCUGGCUUGGUGUUGGGGCUCGCGGUUCUGCGGCCCUUAAAAUCAGUGGCGGCGCCAUCCGGCUCUCAGCGUAGUAAUACUCCUCGCUACAGAGCCCCGGUGGAUGCUUGCCAGCAACCCCCCAUCUCACGGUUGACCUCGGAUCAGGUAGGGAUACCCGCUGAACUUAAGCAUAUCAAUAAGCGGAGGA